AACGAACGCUGGCGGCAUGCCUAACACAUGCAAGUCGAACGAGACCUUCGGGUCUAGUGGCGCACGGGUGCGUAACGCGUGGGAACCUGCCCUUAGGUUCGGAAUAACUCCCCGAAAGGGGUGCUAAUACCGGAUAAUGUCUUCGGACCAAAGAUUUAUCGCCUUUGGAUGGGCCCGCGUUGGAUUAGCUAGUUGGUAGGGUAAAAGCCUACCAAGGCGACGAUCCAUAGCUGGUCUGAGAGGAUGAUCAGCCACACUGGGACUGAGGCACGGCCCAGACUCCUACGGGAGGCAGCAGUGGGGAAUAUUGGACAAUGGGCGAAAGCCUGAUCCAGUAAUGCCGCGUGAGUGAUGAAGGCCUUAGGGUUGUAAAGCUCUUUUACCCGGGAUGAUAAUGACAGUACCGGGAGAAUAAGCUCCGGCUAACUCCGUG
rnacentral:rRNA from 1 species